GAUGAACGCUGGCGGCGCGCUUAACACAUGCAAGUCGAACGGAAAGUCCCAACCUCGCUUAGGUGCUAGAAUGGCGAACGGGCGCGUAACACGUGACAGAUGUGCCCGGGACCUCAGGAUAAGCCUGGGAAACUGGGACUAAUAACGGACAUGACCCCUCCAUGGACUGGGGCGUGGGACGUUAUUUCUGUCGGGGGUGACCUCGCGACCUAUCACCGUGUCGGUGGGGGACUGGCCUAUCAGGCCGGCGAUGGGUAGCCGGCCUGUGAGGAGGUACGGCCCCCUUGGAACUCAGAGGCUGUCCAGACUCCGGAGGGGGGCAGCAGUGGGGAAUAUUCUACAAUGGGCGCAAGCCUGAUGCAGCAACGCCGCGUGGGGGAUGACGGCCUUCGGGUUGUAAACCCCUGUCGCUAGGGACGAAGCGUUUUUGUGACGGUACCUGGAGAAGAAGCACCGGCUAACUACGUG
rnacentral:rRNA from 1 species